UACGGAGGGUGCGAGCGUUGUUCGGAAUUAUUGGGCGUAAAGCGCGUGUAGGCGGUUCUUUAAGUCUGAUGUGAAAGCCCCGGGCCCAACCUGGGAAGUGCAUUGGAUACUGGAGGACUUGAGUACGGGAGAGGGUAGUGGAAUUCCUAGUGUAGGAGUGAAAUCCGUAGAUAUUAGGAGGAACACCGGUGGCGAAGGCGGCUACCUGGACCGAUACUGACGCGGAGACGCGAAAGCGUGGGGAGCAAACAGG
rnacentral:rRNA from 1 species